ensembl:lncRNA
GAGCUGAUCAGUGCUGGUCGCUGAGGAAAUACAUCAACUUUGCACUGUGGAUCGCCAAAUCGGCUUUCACCGUGGACGAAGUGGAGUCCAGCCCGGGGUCAUCACAUGUGGUUGCUGCAAGACCAAGGAGUUGGCGAUAGUGGAACACUACCAGGAACCAAACCAUUAAAACCUACAGGCAUUGGACGUGGAGAUACUCCGGGCACCAUUGAAGGAGGACCUGGAAGUCUAGGUGGUGGUCCAUGUGGGGUUGGUGGUGAGCCAGGUGGAGUUCCGGUAGGGGUUGGUGGUGGUCCAGGUGGAGUUCCGGGAGGAGUUGGUGGUGGUCCAGGUGGAGUUCCGGGAGGAGUUGGUGGUGGGGCAGGUGGAGUUGGUGGAGUUCCAGGAGGAGUUAAACCCCCUUUAGUUUACAGCGUUACAGGUGGAACUGGAGCUCUUGGAGUUGGAGGUGUAGGUGGAACGGGUCCAGCUGGAGUGGGAGGAGUUGGACUUCUGCCAGGAGGUGAAGCUGAAUAAAGUGCACUUAAAAUUGACAAAAGAAUGUAAUUAGCUUGUGCCUAUGUAUAAGGAUUUGUAAAUCUAUUGUAGGUUAUGAAGGAGCAGGAGGUUUAGGAGCUGGUGGGAUCCAACCAGGAACUGGUAAAAAAAAAAUUAAAUAAAAAAAACCCAAAAAAAACA